rnacentral:rRNA from 2 species
CCUGGGUCUGGAAGUCGAAGAAGGACGUGAUUACCUGCGAUAAGCCUCGUUUAGUUGGAUAUAAACUUUGAGACGGGGAUUUCCGAAUGGGGAAACCUAACUAGAUUAAUCUCUAGUUGCCCACUUUUGAAUAUAUAGAAAGUGUGAGCGAGACACCUUGUGAAUUGAAACAUCUUAGUAGCAAGAGGAAAAGAAAAUAAAUAAUGAUUCUGUUAGUAGUGGCGAGCGAAAGCAGAAGAGCCCAAACCGUAUUUAUACGGGGUUGUAGGACAGUCUACAUAGAGUUACAAAGAUUAUGUAUAGUAGAAAAAGCUGGGAAGCUUUGACAUAGAGGGUGAUAUCCCCGUAUACGAAAUGCAUAAUUCUCUUGACUGCAUCCUGAGUAGGGCGGGGCACGUGAAACCCUGUCUGAAUCUGCCGGGACCAUCCGGUAAGGCUAAAUACUAACCAGACACCGAUAGUGAACUAGUACCGUGAGGGAAAGGUGAAAAGAACCCCGGGAGGGGAGUGAAAUAGAUUCUGAAACUACUUACUUACAAUUAGUCAGAGCACGUUAAUGUGUGAUGGCGUACAUCUUGCAGUAUGGACCGGCGAGUUAUGUUAACAUGCGAGG